AAAACGACUCUCGGCAACGGAUAUCUCGGCUCUCGCAUCGAUGAAGAACGUAGCGAAAUGCGAUACUUGGUGUGAAUUACAGAAUCCCGUGAACCAUCGAGUCUUUGAACGCAAGUUGCGCCCCAAGCCUUCUGGCCGAGGGCACGUCUGCCUGGGUGUCACAA
rnacentral:rRNA from 1 species